rnacentral:rRNA from 1 species
GAUGAACGCUGGCGGCAGGCCUAACACAUGCAAGUCGAGCGAGGACUUCGGUCCUAGCGGCGGACGGGUGAGUAACGCGUGGGAACGUGCCCCUUGGUACGGAAUAGCCCCGGGAAACUGGGAGUAAUACCGUAUGAGCUCUACGGAGGAAAGAUUUAUCGCCAAGGGAUCGGCCCGCGUUGGAUUAGGUAGUUGGUGGGGUAAUGGCCUACCAAGCCGACGAUCCAUAGCUGGUUUGAGAGGAUGAUCAGCCAGACUGGGACUGAGACACGGCCCAGACUCCUACGGGAGGCAGCAGUGGGGAAUCUUAGACAAUGGGCGCAAGUCUGAUCUAGCCAUGCCGCGUGAGCGAUGAAGGCCUUAGGGUUGUAAAGCUCUUUCAGCUGGGAAGAUAAUGACUGUACCAGCAGAAGAAGCCCCGGCUAACUCCGUGCCAGCCGCCGCCGUAA